rnacentral:rRNA from 1 species
UGGGGAAUAUUGCACAAUGGGCGCAAGCCUGAUGCAGCAACGCCGCGUGAACGAUGAAGGUCUUCGGAUCGUAAAGUUCUGUUGCAGGGGAAGAUAAUGACGGUACCCUGUGAGGAAGCCCCGGCUAACUACGUGCCAGCAGCCGCGGUAAUACGUAGGGGGCUAGCGUUAUCCGGAUUUACUGGGCGUAAAGGGUGCGUAGGUGGUCUUUCAAGUCGGUGGUUAAAGGCUACGGCUCAACCGUAGUUAGCCUCCGAAACUGGAAGACUUGAGUGCAGGAGAGGAAAGUGGAAUUCCCAGUGUAGCGGUGAAAUGCGUAGAUAUUAGGAGGAAUACCUGUGGCGAAGGCGACUUACUGGACACAAAUCUGACGCUGAGGAACGAAAGCGUGGGUAGCAAACAGG